CCAAUUUGGAGAGUUUGAUCCUGGCUCAGGACGAACGCUGGCGGCAUGCCUAAUACAUGCAAGUCGAGCGGAGUUGUUUUGAAAGCUUGCUUUCAAAACAACUUAGCGGCGGACGGGUGAGUAACACGUAGGUAACCUGCCUGUAAGACUGGGAUAACUACCGGAAACGGUAGCUAAUAC
rnacentral:rRNA from 1 species